rnacentral:lncRNA from 1 species
CUUGUAUGAGAAGGGAAUUGCUUGAUAUCACGCAUAGCUGCAAACCCAUGCCGAAGAAAGAGUUCAUUUGGGAAUACACUGAAAGGAGAAAAUGGUAAAAGCAAGGAGGGAGGAAUGCUGGAUGAAUGGUAAGAAUUGCUGCUGGGCAGGAGCGCCUGGACGGGCCAGUGCAGGCCACAGGGGCAAAGCGGCACGGCGCAAUUAGCUGAAGAAGUUGUCCAAGGUGAAAGUGACCAUCACAGAUAUUAAGCAUCAACAGAAAAAUUACCAAAGCUACUGAGAAACUAAAUACCUAGAAUGCAUUUCAAUGUAGUAUUUCAGAACAAUGUGUGUUCUGCCUCUUCUGACCAAUAACUAUGUUGCUUGAGAUUUACAUAGGACGUUAUUGCCUUUCUCACUGUAAGGUCGGGUGAUAUUUCUCUGAGAAGUCAAAAGGUGCGGAUCGGCUGUUGUCAGAGUUUAGGCAUCAUUUUCUUGUUUCAUUUCUUCAGAAUGAAGGUGGCAAUGCAGCUGCUUCUGAAUGGCUUAAGCACUUCUGCUUGAUAUCCCCGCUUUCAUAUCCAUCUCAGGUUUUUGUUUAUGAGCAGCCAGCAAGUAGAAAGAAGAAAGUAUUUAUUUUCAAAGGGGAAAAGAACGGAAAUUAUCGUAGGGAAUACAUCAUACAUACAUACAUACAUAUCGUAGGAAAUACAUCAGAAAGCAGGGUGAGUGUUCUUCGGAUACUUAAAACUCAAGAGUAUUUUGUGUUCAUAUUUAAAGUGCAUGUUCUUUGUUAAAAAAAUAAAAUUAAAUCUGAGAUGAUCUGAUGCA